ACUCGCGAGAGUAAGCUAAUCUCUUAAAGCCGUUCUCAGUUCGGACUGUAGGCUGCAACUCGCCUACACGAAGUCGGAAUCGCUAGUAAUCGCGGAUCAGCAUGCCGCGGUGAAUACGUUCCCGGGCCUUGUACACACCGCCCGUCACACCAUGAGAGUUGGGGAUACCCGAAGCCUGUGAGCUAACUAUUUAUAGGAGCAGCAGUCGAAGGUAGAAUCAAUGAUUGGGGUGAAGUCGUAACAAGGUAAC
rnacentral:rRNA from 1 species